UUAACAAUGUCUUUGUUUACUUUACUUGAGAUGAAAUCUUACAGCAAGUGGUCUCCAAAGUUCCACACAAUCUUAUAAUGGAUGGGUCAAGUACAGCAGCCAAGUCAACUACAAAGAAUGCCAUGAAUCCAACUCGACUUCUGUGGCCCAUGUCCUCUAAAGUUACAUUUAAUUCUACAACUGGUAAAACGACAACCUCAGCAACUGAGUCAACUACAAAGACCAUGAAAUCAAGUAAGUAUAUGUUUUACUUAUAAGUACACAUAAUUUCUAAAGGCCUGUUUAUUAUACCAAAUGUAUUUCCUGAUCAUUUUACCAA
rnacentral:lncRNA from 1 species